GCUGCUGUAGCUCAGUGGUAGAGCACGUCAUUGGUAAUGACGAGGUCGGCAGUUCAAUCCCGCCCAGCAGCACCA
rnacentral:tRNA from 1 species